rnacentral:rRNA from 1 species
CCUACGGGAGGCAGCAGUGGGGAAUAUUGCACAAUGGGCGGAAGCCUGAUGCAGCGACGCCGCGUGAGGGAUGAAGGCCUUCGGGUUGUAAACCUCUUUCAGCAGGGACGAAGCGUGAGUGACGGUACCUGCAGAAGAAGCACCGGCUAACUACGUGCCAGCAGCCGCGGUAAUACGUAGGGUGCGAGCGUUGUCCGGAAUUACUGGGCGUAAAGAGUUCGUAGGCGGUUUGUCGCGUCGUUUGUGAAAACCCGGGGCUCAACUUCGGGCUUGCAGGCGAUACGGGCAGACUUGAGUGUUUCAGGGGAGACUGGAAUUCCUGGUGUAGCGGUGAAAUGCGCAGAUAUCAGGAGGAACACCGGUGGCGAAGGCGGGUCUCUGGGAAACAACUGACGCUGAGGAACGAAAGCGUGGGUAGCAAACAGGAUUAGAUACCCUGGUAGUCCACGCCGUAAACGGUGGGCGCUAGGUGUGGGUUCCUUCCACGGGAUCUGUGCCGUAGCUAACGCAUUAAGCGCCCCGCCUGGGGAUACGGCCGCAAGGCUAAAACUUAAGGAAUUGACGG